UACGAAGGGAGCAAGCGUUAUUCGGAAUUACUGGGCGUAAAGGGCGCGUAGGCGGUCCGUUAAGUCAGUUGUUAAAUCCCAUGGCUUACCUAUGGAACAGCAAUUGAUACUGGCGAACUUAGAGGGCAAGAGAGAGAAGUGGAAUUCUCGGAGUAGCGGUAAAAUGCGUAGAUCUCGAGAGGAACACCGAUGGCGAAGGCAGCUUCUUGGCUUGUACCUGACGCUGAGGCGCGAAAGCGUGGGGAGCAAACAGGAUUAGAUACCCGCGUA
rnacentral:rRNA from 1 species